rnacentral:rRNA from 1 species
AUCGCCUCCCGACCUAACCCAACAUGGGAGGUCCCGCCUGCCCUGUGAUUAAUGAUUUAACGGCCGCGGUAUUUUGACCGUGCAAAGGUAGCGCAAUCACUUGUCUUUUAAAUGGAGACCUGUAUGAAUGGCAUAACGAGGGCUUAACUGUCUCCCUUUCUCAGUCAAUGAAAUUGAUCCUCCCGUGCAGAAGCGGGAAUAAGCGCAUAAGACGAGAAGACCCUGUGGAGCUUUAGGCAAUAGGUAGAGCCCGUAAAGAUAACCUCUAAAGAAAAAAACACAGGGACUAUCUACUUUAAUGCCUUCGGUUGGGGCGACCGCGGGGAAAUAUUAAACCCCCACGUGGAAUGUGAAAUACUUCUUUAAACCAAGAAUGGCAAUUCUAAACAACAGAAUAUCUGACCUAAAUUGACCCGGCAUUUUGCCGAGCAACGAAACCAGUUACCCCAGGGAUAACAGCGCAAUCCUCUCCCAGAGCCCAUAUCGACGAGGGGGUUUACGACCUCGAUGUUGGAUCAGGACAUCCUAAUGGUGCAGCCGCUAUUAAGGGUUCGUUUGUUCAACGAUUAAAGUCCUACGUGAU